GAUGAACGCUGGCGGCGUGCCUAAUACAUGCAAGUCGAGCGAACGGACGAGAAGCUUGCUUCUCUGAUGUUAGCGGCGGACGGGUGAGUAACACGUGGAUAACCUACCUAUAAGACUGGGAUAACUUCGGGAAACCGUAGCUAAUACCGGAUAAUAUUUUGAACCGCAUGGUUCAAAAGUGAAAGACGGUCUUGCUGUCACUUAUAGAUGGAUCCGCGCUGCAUUAUCUAGUUGGUAAGGUAACGGCUUACCAAGGCAACGAUGCAUAGCCGACCUGAGAGGGGGAUCGGCCACACUGGAACUGAGACACGGACCAGACACCUACGGGAGGAAGCAGUAGGGAAUCUUCCGCAAUGGGCGAAAGCCUGACGGAGCAACGCCGCGUGAGUGAUGAAGGUCUUCGGAUCGUAAAACGCUGUUAUUAGGGAAGAACAGAUGUGUAAGUAACUGUGCACAUCUUGACGGGACCUAAUCAGAAAGCCACGGCUAACUACGU
rnacentral:rRNA from 1 species